AAGCGAGCGGCGGAUGGGUGAGUAACACGUGGGGAACCUGCCCCUAAGUCUGGGAUACCAUUUGGAAACAGGUGCUAAUACCGGAUAAUAAAGCAGAUCGCAUGAUCAGCUUUUGAAAGGCGGCGUAAGCUGUCGCUAAGGGAUGGCCCCGCGGUGCAUUAACUAGUUGGUAAGGUAACGGCUUACCAAGGCGACGAUGCAUAGGCGAGUUGAGAGACUGAUCGGCCACAUUGGGACUGAAACACGGCCCAAACUCCUACGGGAGGCAGCAGUAGGGAAUCUUCCACAAUGGACGCAAGUCUGAUGGAGCAACGCCGCGUGAGUGAAGAAGGUUUUCGGAUCGUAAAGCUCUGUUGUUGGUGAAGAAGGAUAGAGGUAGUAACUGGCCUUUAUUUGACGGUAAUCAACCAGAAAGUCACGGCUAACUACGUGCCAGCAGCCGCGGUAAUACGUAGGUGGCAAGCGUUGUCCGGAUUUAUUGGGCGUAAAGCGAGCGCAGGCGGAAAAAUAAGUCUAAUGUGAAANCCCUCGGCUUAACCGAGGAACUGCAUCGGAAACUGUUUUUCUUGAGUGCAGAACAGGAGAGUGGAACUCCAUGUGUAGCGGUGGAAUGCGCUAGAUAUAUGGAAGAACACCAGUGGCGAACGCGGCUCUCUGGUCUGCAACUGACGCUGAGGCUCGAAAGCAUGGGUAGCGAACAGGAUUAGAUACCCUGGUAAUCCAUGUCGUAAACGAUGAGUGCUAAGUGUU
rnacentral:rRNA from 1 species